rnacentral:rRNA from 1 species
AAGACCCGAAGCCGGACGAUCUAUUCGUGGACAAGCUGAAGUUUUCCGAAAGGAGAAUGGAAGGCUGAACCGUUGUUGUGUGCAUGCACUCGAAUGAUCUGCGAAUAGGGGUGAAAAGCCUAUCUAGUUCGGCGAUGGCUGGUUCCUGUUGAAAUAUGCCUCAGUAUAGUCUCACUUAGUUUGUUGGCGGGGUAAAGUACGGAUAGAAUUCGCAGGGUCGAAAGAUUACGGAAUUUCUUCCAACUCUGAACCUGUCAGCUGCUUAAAGUGGGAAUCGGGGGCAGCGCGUAAGGUGCUGUUCCGAGACCGGAACAACGGAGACUGGAGUUAAGGUCCCAAAAUGUAUACUAAGUGUAACGAAAGGUGUCUUGAACCUAAGACAGUGGGGAUGUAGGCCCAGAAGCAGCCAACAUUUAAAGAAAGCGUAAUAGCUCACCUAUCGAGGUUCGAGGCCCUGAAAAUGGACGGGGCUAAGUAUACUACCGAUACUCCGGAGGCGCUCAGAUGAGCGUUCUGGUAAGCAGGCGUCUGUUCUGCGCAGAAGUUUUUUCGUAAGAAAGGAUGGAGCGGGACGGAAUGAGAAUCUUGGCGUUAGUAAGAUCAGAUCAACCUGAGAAUGGUUGGCGUCGCAAGAGCAAGGUUUCCUUGGCAAUAUCGUUUAACCAAGGGUUAGUCGGUACCUAAGCUAUACCUUAACUGAGUAUAGCGAAUGGAAAUCAGGUUAAUAUUCCUGAACUAAUCAAACUUUGCAUAUAAUUCGCUUUGGGAUAGGCAGGCAUCUGGAAGGAUGCUUGGAUAUAGAAAUCUGUGGAUCGUAAUGAUAAGAAGCAGAAGAAUAUAUUUGAACAAAACUGUUGAAUCCGGGAGCCCGUGAAAAUUUUAUAUGCGCGUGGGUUUGGUUAGCCGUACCCAGAAUCGGCACUGAUGCUCUGGUUUAGAAGACUAAGACGUGAAAGGACAAACUGGUUAAGGGAAUUCGGCAAUUUAGCCCCGUAUCUUCGGUAUAAGGGGUGUCUAUGUUUGUGUUUGAUAUGUAAAAUGCAUUUGUAGAUCGCAGUGACAAGGACUGCCCGACUGUUUAUCAAAAACAUAGCUGAUUGCUAAUCCGAAAGGACGUGUAUAAUCGGCGAGAUCUGCCCAGUGGUGGUGUUUCAAACUUCGGUUCAACGGAGCUAAGACCCACUAAACGGCGGGCCUAACUAUGAGGCUCUUAAGGUAGCGUAAUGCCUUGUCGUUUGAAUGACGACGUGCAUGAACGGUUUAACGAGGUGGUCGCUGUCCCUAACCAGAACCUUCUGAACUCACUUACCGGUGAAAAUGCCGGUAACGCCUAGUGGGAAGCGGAGACCUUGUGAACCUUUACUGCAACUUGUUGUUGUGAUUUUAAAGAGAAUGCAUAGCAUAGGUAGGAGCGUAGAUGUUUGUUCUCAGGAACAAACGGAGCGACCUUGUAAUACUACCCAUUGUUUUUGACAUUACUCACCCGAGAGGGGACACCAGCAGGCGGGCAGUUUGGCUGGGGCGGCACCCUGCAGAAAAGAUAUCUGUAGGGCCCAAAGACAAGCUCAUUCGGGUUGGAAAUCCGAAGUAGAGUGCGAGGGCAAAAGCUUGUCUAACUGUAUUUCGAAAAGCAAGAUAUGCAGAGAUGAAAGUCGGGCCUAGCGACCUCACGUAGUUUUUUAAUAGAACUCGUGUGUGACAGAAAAGGUACUCCAAGGAUAACAGGCUUGUCGCGCCCGAUAGUCCGUAUUGACGGCGCGGUUUGGUACAUCGCUGUCGGCUCUUCCUAACCUGGAUGUGUACAAGCAUCCAAGGGU